rnacentral:rRNA from 1 species
UGCCUAACACAUGCAAGUCGAGCGAGAAAGUCCCGGCAACGGGAUGAGUAAAGGGGCAAACGGGUGAGUAACGCGUAGGUAAUCUGCCCUACGGAUCGGGAUAACCUGCCGAAAGGUGGACUAAUACCGGAUGAUGUUCCUGUGGAGAUUCCGUGGGAACCAAAGGGGGCGAGCGAAAGCAGCUCUCACCGAAGGAGGAGCCUGCGUCCGAUUAGCUAGUUGGUGGGGUAAUGGCCUACCAAGGCGACGAUCGGUAGCCGGCCUGAGAGGGCGAUCGGCCACACUGGAACUGAGACACGGUCCAGACUCCUACGGGAGGCAGCAGUGGGGAAUAUUGCGCAAUGGGCGAAAGCCUGACGCAGCGACGCCGCGUGGGUGAUGAAGGCCUUCGGGUCGUAAAGCCC